rnacentral:rRNA from 1 species
GACGAACGCUGGCGGCGUGCCUAAUACAUGCGAGUAGAACGCUGAAGGAGGAGCUUGCUUCUCUGGAUGAGUUGCGAACGGGUGAGUAACGCGUAGGUAACCUGCCUGGUAGCGGGGGAUAACUAUUGGAAACGAUAGCUAAUACCGCAUAAUAGCAGUUGUUGCAUGACAACUGUUUGAAAGGUGCAAUUGCACCACUACCAGAUGGACCUGCGUUGUAUUAGCUAGUUGGUGGGGUAACGGCUCACCAAGGCGACGAUACAUAGCCGGCCUGGGAGGGGGAUCGGCCAAACUGGGACUGGGACACGGCCCAGACUCCUACGGGAGGCAGCAGUAGGGAAUCUUCGGCAAUGGGCGGAAGUCUGACCGAGCAACGCCGCGUGAGUGAAGGAGGUUUUCGGAUCGUAAAGCUCUGUUGUAAGGGAAGAACGAGUGGGGGAGUGGAAAGUGCACACUGUGACGGUAUCUUACCAGAAAGGGACGGCUAACUACGUG